CAAAAUACAGGAGAAAUAUGUCAGCAAGACCUCAGCUUCACUCCCACAGAAAGGAACUAAACAUUGGGAUCACAUACAUCUGGGACCUCCAGGAGGCCAAGGGGGCGACUGUUAAUUGAAGAACUUUCUGCACUGCCUUCCCACAAGCAUCAUCCAUCCUGACUCCUGCUGCCUCGUCUUGCUGCCUUGGGAAAUAAUCAGCAUUCCCAUGUUACUUUCAAGGUGGCUCCCCAGAUGGUGUAAGGGCUUCGGGAAGAAAAGUCUGUCUAGGUUUCCAGGUAGAAGGGACUCUCCUUCCAUGACUGUCCUGUGUCACAUGUGUUCUACUCUAAGGUUGUAAAUCUUUCCAUGCAUCUCUCCUGUCCCUAAUUGGAACCACCUGUCUCUUAAACUAAGUGAUGCAACAAGCAAUAUCUGGGUUCAUGAAGAAUCCUGGACCCAUGGAAUGCCAGUCCGUGGACUCUUCUCAGAUGAUGAGGAACGCUACAGGCCAGAGACGAUCAAAAAACAAGGUCAAGAAAGGGCCAUGCUGAAACCCUGCUCUGGACAGCUGUUGCAAGACACUUGGCAAUAACAGGCACCCUGGAGGAAAAAACAGGCUCUCACCUGGGCUGGCAGAUGGACUUACGGAUUUCUUCUCUGCAAGACAAAAGGAGAAAAUGCGUAAGACCAAGUGAAUACAAAAG